rnacentral:rRNA from 1 species
CAGACCUCUAAUCGGAAAAGACUACUCGCUGAGUUUAAGCAUAUCACUAAGCGAAGGAGAAGAAACUAACCAGG